AGAGUUUGAUCAUGGCUCAGAACGAACGCUGGCGGCGUGGAUUAGGCAUGCAAGUCGAACGAGAAAGAGGGGGCAACCCCUCGAGUAAAGUGGCGAACGGGUGAGUAACGCGUGAAGAACCUGCCCUUAGCAGGGGGAUAACACUCCCAACGGGGUGCUAAUACCGCAUGAGACCACGGGUUCGCAUGGACCUGAGGUCAAAGGUGGCCUCUGCUUGCAAGCUACCGGCUGAGGAUGGCUUCGCGUCCCAUUAGCUAGUUGGCGGUGUAAAAGACCACCAAGGCGACGAUGGGUAGCUGGUCUGAGAGGAUGGUCAGCCACACUGGGACUGAGAUACGGCCCAGACUCCUACGGGAGGCAGCAGUCGAGAGGCUUUGGCAAUGGGGGAAACCCUGACCAAGCGACGCCGCGUGGAGGAUGAAGGCCCUUGGGUUGUAAACUCCUUUUGUCGGGGAAGAAACACGAUCAGGUGAACAAUCUGGUCGCUUGACGGUACCCGGCGAAUAAGCUCCGGCUAACUCCGUGCCAGCAGCCGCGGUAACACGGGGGGAGCAAGCGUUGUUCGGAAUCACUGGGCGUAAAGGGCGUGUAGGCGGUUGGGUAAGUGGGAUGUGAAAUGCCUCGGCUCACCCGAGGAUCUGCAUCCCAAACUGCCUGACUUGAGUAUGGGAGAGGAUGAGGGAAUUCCUGGUGUAGCGGUGAAAUGCGUAGAUAUCAGGAGGAACACCGGUGGCGAAGGCGCUCAUCUGGCCCAAUACUGACGCUGAGGCGCGAAAGCUAGGGGAGCAAACGGGAUUAGAUACCCCAGUAGUCC
rnacentral:rRNA from 1 species